rnacentral:rRNA from 1 species
AGAAAGCUUGCUUUCGAGGGGACAGCGGCGAAAGGGAGAGUAACAGGUAGAUACCUACCUCCAGGCUGGGAAUAGCGUCGGGAAACUGGCGGUAAUGCCCAAUAACAUCUACGGAUCAAAGCUCCGGCGCCUGGAGAUGGGUCUGCUCACUAUUAGCUAGUUGGUAAGGUAAUGGCUUACCAAGGCGACGAUGGUUAGCGGGCGUGAGAGCGUGGCCCGUCUCACUGGGACUGAGACACUGCCCAGACACCUACGGGUGGCUGCAGUCGAGAAUCUUCGGCAAUGGACGCAAGUCUGACCGAGCGAUGCCGCGUGCGGGAUGAAGGCCUUCGGGUUGUAAACCGCUGUCAGAGGGAAGGAAAUUUUGACCAAACCUCAGAGGAAGGUCGGGCUAAGUUCGUGCCAGCAGCCGCGGUAAGACGAACCGACCGAACGUUAUUCGGAAUUACUGGGCUUAAAGGGUGCGUAGGCGGCCAUGCAAGUCAGAUGUGAAAUCCCACGGCUCAACCGUGGAACUGCGUUUGAAACUGCAUGGCUUGAGGGAGAUAGGGGUGAGCGGAACUGAUGGUGGAGCGGUGAAAUGCGUUGAUAUCAUCAGGAACACCGGUGGCGAAGGCGGCUCACUGGGUCUCUUCUGACGCUGAGGCACG